GGCUCGGUGGUGGAUGGUCCACGCCUGUGUUCAUCAAUCCAUGACGUCCGCGACUACUUAACCGCAGGGGUGCCCGUUCGACUCGGGCCCGAGCCA